rnacentral:sRNA from 1 species
CCUCUUCGAUCUGCUGCGGGCAGAUAAAGUGAAUAUGGGAGUCGAUGCCGCCAGCGGUGAGAAUCUGGCCUUCGCCGGCGAGUAUCUCGGUGCCAGGGCCGAUCAGAAUAUCGACGCCCGGCUGCACAUCGGAAUUACCGGCCUUACCGAUGGCCGCGAUACGCCCGGCCUUGAUGCCCACAUCCGCCUUGACGAUGCCCCAGUGAUCCAGAAUCAGCGCAUUGGUGAUGACCAGAUCCAUAGUCUGGCUGCUGGGGAACUGCCCCUGCCCCAUGCCAUCACGG